AUGAGGAUAGCGAGUCGGUGGUCCUGCGGCAACAGGAGGUCGACGGUGGCGCGACACGGGAAGAACAACAGCAGGACGGAGUGGCUACCCUCGCCCUUAGCGUGGAGCAAGGGAGGCAAAGCUCCUGGAGGCUGGAGGUGCCAUGGACCUCGGGCGCACGAGGAGGAGCAGGGAAAGGAGGUCGGGCGGGCGAUGUGCUUGUGCAGAAACGGCCAAGGUCGUGGGUGGCGGAGGUUCGGUGCUGGAGAAAUAGGAAGGCCACGGCAGAGGAACGAGACCCCGGCGGCGAGGUGCAGCAGCGGCAGCGGCCAUGGAGGACGGCGGCGCUGA
rnacentral:rRNA from 1 species